rnacentral:ncRNA from 1 species
GGAAGUCGGCAAAAUAGAUUCGUAACUUUGGGAAAAGAAUUGGCUCUUGAGAUGUAGAUAUUCGGGUAUUAUGUAUCUAAUGGUUAUUUUAAUUUAUAUAAAAUGAAUACUAGUAAUAGUUAUUUGAUUUAUAUAAAUUAAUAAUUAUUAACAUAAUACUUACAUAUAUUUGUAAUAUAAUAUAUUAACGAAUAUCAAUAUAUAUACAUUAAUCAAGAACUGGCACGGACAAGAGGAAUCCGACUGUCUAAUUAAAACAGAGGAGACAGAUGAUCUUAGAUAGAUGUAGACUGUGUCUGAUUUCUGCCCAGUGCAAUGAAUGUUAUCAUUGGGAAACCAAUUGAAGCUCUUGUAAACGGCGGGAGUAACUAUGACUCUCUUGGUUUAUAAAACCCAGUUUGAGGUAUUUCAGAUAUAAAGCCAUAAUAAGGCAUCACUGGUGGAUCUAGAUUUUAUAUC